AUACGUAGGGUGCGAGCGUUGUCCGGAAUUACUGGGCGUAAAGAGCUCGUCGGUGGUUUGUCGCGUCGUCUGUGAAAUUCCGGGGCUUAACUCCGGGCGUGCAGGCGAUACGGGCAUAACUUGAGUACUGUAGGGGAGACUGGAAUUCCUGGUGUAGCGGUGAAAUGCGCAGAUAUCAGGAGGAACACCGGUGGCGAAGGCGGGUCCCUGGGCAGUAACUGACGCUGAGGAGCGAAAGCAUGGGGAGCGAACAGGAUUAGAUACCCUGGUAGUCCAUGCCGUAAACGGUGGCCGCUAGGUGUAGGGGGCGUCCACGCCUUCUGUGCCGUAGCUAACGCAUUAAGCGGCCCGCCUGGGGAGUACGGCCGCAAGGCUAAAACUCAAAUGAAUUGACGGGG
rnacentral:rRNA from 1 species